rnacentral:rRNA from 1 species
UACGUAGGGUGCGAGCGUUAAUCGGAAUUACUGGGCGUAAAGCGUGCGCAGGCGGUUCGUUGUGUCGGUGGUGAAAUCCCCGGGCUUAACCUGGGAAUGGCCUGGAAACUGGCGAACUGGAGUGCGGCAGAGGGGGUGGAAUUCCGCGUGUAGCAGUGAAAUGCGUAGAUAUGCGGAGGAACACCGAUGGCGGAAGGCAAUCCCCUGGGCCUGCACUGACGCUCCAUGCACGAAGCGUGGGGAG